UUGACCUCAAAUCAGGUAGGACUACCCGCUGAACUUAAGCAUAUCAAUAAGCGGAGGAAAAGAAACCAACCGGGAUUGCCUCAGUAACGGCGAGUGAAGCGGC
rnacentral:rRNA from 1 species